GGGCCGCGCCUGCUGUGCUACAGCGGCCGUUCGGGGAGGACGCCUGAGGGGGACUCUUGUUUCUAGGCCACGCCCCGGGCAGCGCUCGCCGGAGGAUUACUCUGGAAAACACACUCUUGAAAGAACAUACCGUNUGAGCGAGCAACGCAAAUCAGUUAAAACUUUCAACAACGGAUCUNUUGGUUCCGGCAUCGAUGAAGAACGCAGCGAAAUGCGAUAAGUAAUGUGAAUUGCAGAAUUCCGUGAAUCAUAGAAUCUUUGAACGCACAUUGCGCCCCCUGGCAUUCCGGGGGGCAUGCCUGUUCGAGCGUCAUUUCAACCCCUCAAGCCCGGCUUGUGUGAUGGACGACCGUCCCCCCUCCCCAGUAACCACCCACCGCUUAGGGGGGUGGGAGGGAGGGGGACGCGCCCGAAAAGCAGUGGUCAGGCCGCGAUUCCGGCUCCUGGGCGAAUGGGACAUACCACCGCCUCCAGGACCGGCCGGCAGGCGGCCUAACGCACCAUGUAUUAUUCA
rnacentral:misc_RNA from 1 species